AUGAGCAGCGAGACGAGCAAGCGAGAUCAUGCACGGGAGCUCCUCGCCGCCGACAGGAAGCUGAUGACCGUGGCCCGUUCGGCGCGACGGCGCCGGCUGGAGCUCCGGCGGCUGGGACGUACGGCGUCCGCGGCCGCGGAGGACGAGGGUGCGAAGCGGGUGCGGCCGGCGCCGGACAGCUCCUCGGACUCGUCUGACUCCGCGAAGGUGGUGCCGGUGGCGUCUAGGUGUUCGGCGUGCGUGUCGCACGGGGCGGUGUCCGUGAUCGGGCGCCGGCGGGAGAUGGAGGACGCGGUGGCCGUCGCCGCGCCGUUCCUGGCCGAGACGGCGGGGGUGGAGGGCAGCGGCGACGUGGAGUACGGGGCAGGGGACGAGGGCUUCUUCGCGGUGUACGACGGGCACGGCGGGUCGCGCGUGGCGGAGGCGUGCCGGCUGCGGAUGCACCUGGUGCUCGCGGAGGAGGUGCGGCUUCGUCGUCUGCGGCCCGGGGGCGAAGGGCAGCGUCAGGCCGAGGACGACGAGGACGGUGCGCGGUGGAAGGAGGCCAUGACGGCCUGCUUCGCCCGGGUGGACGGCGAGGUCGGCGUCGACGACGGGACCGACACCGGCGAGCAGACGGUGGGCUCCACCGCCGUCGUGGCCGUCGUGGGCCCGCGCCGCAUCGUCGUCGCGAACUGCGGCGACUCCCGCGCCGUGCUCUCUCGCGGCGGCGUCCCCGUGCCGCUCUCCUCCGACCACAAGCCAGACCGACCUGACGAAAUGGAAAGAGUAGAAGCAGCUGGUGGCAAGGUCAUUAACUGGAAUGGACACCGUAUCCUGGGAGUGCUCGCAACUUCGAGGUCAAUCGGAGACUAUUACCUGAAGCCAUAUGUGAUAGCGGAACCAGAAGUCACCGUCAUGGACCGGACGGACAAAGACGAGUUCCUCAUACUGGCAAGCGACGGCCUGUGGGAUGUGGUGUCCAAUGAUAUCGCCUGCAAGAUCGCGAGAAAUUGCCUAAGUGGGCGUGCGGCCUCCAAGUACCCCGAGUCCGUCUCCGGGAGCACGGCGGCCGACGCCGCGGCGCUGCUGGUGGAGCUCGCCAUGGCACGCGGCAGCAAGGACAACAUCAGCGUCGUCGUGGUCGAGUUGCGGCGACUGAAGAGUAGGACAGCGGCGGUGAUCAAAGAAAACCGCAGGUGGUAG
rnacentral:rRNA from 1 species